GUAGGGGGCAAGCGUUAUCCGGAUUUACUGGGUGUAAAGGGAGCGUAGACGGCAAUGCAAGUCUGGAGUGAAAGCCCGCGGCCCAACUGCGGGACUGCUCUGGAAACUGUAAUGCUUGAGUGCAGGAGGGGUAAGCGGAAUUCCUGGUGUAGCGGUGAAAUGCGUAGAUAUCAGGAGGAACACCGGUGGCGAAGGCGGCUUACUGGACUGUAACUGACGUUGAGGCUCGAAAGCGUGGGGAGCAAA
rnacentral:rRNA from 1 species